AACGAACGCUGGCGGCAUGCCUAACACAUGCAAGUCGAACGAGACCUUCGGGUCUAGUGGCGCACGGGUGCGUAACGCGUGGGAAUCUGCCCUUGGGAUCGGAAUAACAGUUAGAAAUGACUGCUAAUACCGGAUGAUGACUUCGGUCCAAAGAUUUAUCGCCCAGGGAUGAGCCAGCGUCGGAUUAGCUUGUUGGUGAGGUAAAAGCUCACCAAGGCGACGAUCCGUAGCUGGUCGGAGAGGAUGAUCAGCCACACUGGGACUGAGACACGGCCCAGACUCCUACGGGAGGCAGCAGUGGGGAAUAUUGGACAAUGGGCGAAAGCCUGAUCCAGCAAUGCCGCGUGAGUGAUGAAGGCCUUAGGGUUGUAAAGCUCUUUUACCCGGGAUGAUAAUGACAGUACCGGGAGAAUAAGCCCCGGCUAACUCCGUGCCAGCAGCCGCAGUAACAC
rnacentral:rRNA from 1 species